UACUCCAACCCCUGUGACAUACCACUUGUUGCCUCGGCGGAUCAGCCCGCUCCCGGUAAAACGGGACGGCCCGCCAGAGGACCCCUAAACUCUGUUUCUAUAUGUAACUUCUGAGUAAAACCAUAAAUAAAUCAAAACUUUCAACAACGGAUCUCUUGGUUCUGGCAUCGAUGAAGAACGCAGCAAAAUGCGAUAAGUAAUGUGAAUUGCAGAAUUCAGUGAAUCAUCGAAUCUUUGAACGCACAUUGCGCCCGCCAGUAUUCUGGCGGGCAUGCCUGUUCGAGCGUCAUUUCAACCCUCAAGCACAGCUUGGUGUUGGGACUCGCGUUAAUUCGCGUUCCCCAAAUUGAUUGGCGGUCACGUCGAGCUUCCAUAGCGUAGUAGUAAAACCCUCGUUACUGGUAAUCGUCGCGGCCACGCCGUUAAACCCCAACUUCUGAAUGUUGACCUCGGAUCAGGUAGGAAUACCCGCUGAACUUAAGCAUAUCAAUAAGCGGAGGAA
rnacentral:rRNA from 1 species